GGCGGCGUAGCUCAGCUGAUAGAGCAUUCGGUUCAUACCCGACAGGUCAUAGGUUUAAAUCCUAUCGCCGCCA
rnacentral:tRNA from 1 species